rnacentral:rRNA from 1 species
CCUACGGGGGGCAGCAGUGGGGAAUAUUGCACAAUGGGGGAAACCCUGAUGCAGCAACGCCGCGUGAGUGAAGAAGUAUUUCGGUAUGUACAGCUCUAUCAGCAGGGAAGAAGAAAGACGGUACCUGACUAAGCAGCCCCGGCUAACUACGUGCCAGCAGCCGCGGUAAACCGUAGGGGGCAAGCGUUAUCCGGAUUUACUGGGUGUAAAGGGAGCGUAGACGGCGGGGCAAGUCUGAAGUGAAACCCCUGGGCUUAACCGCGGAACUGCUUUGGAGACUGUAUAGCUUGAGUCCUGGAGAGGCAGGCGGAAUUCCUAGUGUAGCGGUGAAAUGCGUAGAUAUUAGGAGGAACACCAGUGGCGAAGGCGGCCUGCUGGACAGAAACUGACGUUGAGGCUCGAAAGCGUGGGGAGCAAACAGGAUUAGAUACCCGAGUAGUC